UAACGCGUAGGUAACCUGCCUGGUAGCGGGGGAUAACCUAUUGGAAACGAUCAGCUAAUACCGCAUCAAAUUGAUUAUUGCAUGAUAUAUUAAUUGAAAGAUGCAAUUGCAUCACUACCAGAUGGACCUGCGUUGUAUUAGCUAGUUGGUGAGGUAACGGCUCACCAAGGCGACGAUACAUAGCCGACCUGAGAGGGUGAUCGGCCACACUGGGACUGAGACACGGCCCAGACUCCUACGGGAGGCAGCAGUAGGGAAUCUUCGGCAAUGGGGGGAACCUGACCGAGCAACGCCGCGUGAGUGAAGAAGGUUUUCGGAUCGUAAAGCUCUGUUGUAAGAGAAGAACGGGUGUGAGAGUGGAAAGUUCACACUGUGACGGUAUCUUACCAGAAAGGGACGGCUAACUACGUGCCAGCAGCCGCGGUAAUACGUAGGUCCCGAGCGUUGUCCGGAUUUAUAGGGCGUAAAGCGAGCGCAGGCGGUUAGAUAAGUCUGAAGUUAAAGGCUGUGGCUUAACCAUAGUAUGCUUUGGAAACUGUUUAACUUGAGUGCAGAAGGGGAGAGUGGAAUUCCAUGUGUAGCGGUGAAAUGCGUAGAUAUAUGGAGGACACCGGUGGCGAAAGCGGCUCUCUGGUCUGUAACUGACGCUGAAGCUCGAAAGCGUGGGGGAGCAAACAGGAUUAGAUACCCUGGUAGUCCACGCCGUAAACGAUGAGUGCUAGGUGUUAGGGCCUUCCCGGGGCUUAGUGCCGCACUAACGCAUUAAGCACUCCGCCUGGGGAGUACGACCGCAAGGUUGAAACUCAAAGGAAUUGACGGGGGCCCGCACAAGCGGUGGAGCAUGUGGUUUAAUUCGAAGCAACGCGAAGAACCUUACCAGGUCUUGACAUCCCUCUGACCGCUCUAGAGAUAGAGUUUUCUUCGGGACAGAGGUGACAGGUGGUGCAUGGUUGUCGUCAGCUCGUGUCGUGAGAUGUUGGGUUAAGUCCCGCAACGAGCGCAACCCCUAUUGUUAGUUGCCAUCAUUCAGUUGGACACUCUAGCGAGACUGCCGGUAAUAAACCGGAGGAAGGUGGGGAUGACGUCAAAUCAUCAUGCCCCUUAUGACCUGGGCUACACACGUGCUACAAUGGCUGGUACAACGAGUCGCAAGCCGGUGACGGCAAGCUAAUCUCUGAAAGCCAGUCUCAGUUCGGAUUGUAGGCUGCAACUCGCCUACAUGAAGUCGGAAUCGCUAGUAGAUCGCGGAUCAGCACUGCCGUCGGUGAAUACGUUCCCGGGC
rnacentral:rRNA from 1 species